rnacentral:rRNA from 1 species
GAUGAACGCUGGCGGCGUGCCUAAUACAUGCAAGUCGAGCGAACGGACGAGAAUCUUGCUUCACUGAUGUUAGCGGCGGACGGGUGAGUAACACGUGGAUAACCUACCUAUAAGACUUGGAUAACUUCGGGAAACCGUAGCUAAUACCAGAUAAUAUUUUGAACCGCAUGGUUCAAAAGUGAAUUACGUUCUUGCUGUCACUUAUACAUGGAUCCGCGCUGCAUUAGCUAGUUGGUAAGGUAACGGCUUACCAAGGCAACGAUGCAUAGCCGACCUGAGAGGGUGAUCGGCCACACUGGAACUGAGACACGGUACAGAGUCCUACGGGAGGCAGAAGUAGGGAAUCGUCCGAAAUGGGCGAAAGCCUGACGGAGCAACGCCGCGUGAGUGCUGAAGGUCUUCGGAUCGUAAAACUCUGUUAUUAGGGAAGACCAUAUGUGUAAGUAACUGUGCACAUUUUGACGGUACCUAAUCAGAAAGCCCCGGCUAACUACGUG